rnacentral:rRNA from 1 species
AGCGAACGCUGGCGGCAGGCCUAACACAUGCAAGUCGAACGAACUCUUCGGAGUUAGUGGCGGACGGGUGAGUAACACGUGGGAACGUGCCUUUAGGUUCGGAAUAACUCAGGGAAACUUGUGCCAAUACCGAAUGUGCCCUUCGGGGGAAAGAUUUAUCGCCUUUAGAGCGGCCCGCGUCUGAUUAGCUAGUUGGUGAGGUAAAGGCUCACCAAGGCGACGAUCAGUAGCUGGUCUGAGAGGGUGAUCAGCCACAUUGGGACUGAGACAAGGCCCAGACGCCUGCGGGAGGCAGCAGUAGGGAAGCUACGGCAAUAGACGAACGUCGGGCCGAGCAACGCCGGGUGAGUGAAGAAGAAAUUCGGGUCGUAAAGCUCGGUUGUAAGAGAAGAACGGGAGUGAGCGUGGACAAUUCCCACGGUGACGGUAUCGUACAAGAAAGGGACGGCUAACUACGUG